rnacentral:lncRNA from 1 species
CCAAGACAGCAGAACGAACCAGAUCAAACUAUAAUUUAACUAUAUCCAAAUACGCAUUCAGUCAUCACCAUAAAUGGGGCAUUCCAAAACAAUAUUGCUAUAGUGCAGUGUGGAGUUCCAAUUGAGGUGUGCCCUAAAGUUAAUCAAUUGGACGAACACACUAACAAGGUUCAGCAGCAAGUAGUUGUACAACUACAUCUCUCCCCGUCUCCGUCCCUUAGAACACACUAACAAGGUUCAGCAGCAAGUAGUUGUGCACUGCAUCAGCGAUUGAAGACAAGAAGUUAAUCAAUCAGACCAGUCAACAACACAGUCAGAACCCAAAGACAACAUCCCGAAUUCAUGAACUGCAGGGAGAGCCGGGGAACAGGGUCGAGCGGGUAGCUAACCUUGAUGGAGAAUAAGGUGUGUCGCAGACGAUGGACUAGGAGGUGAACGCCUGCAGCCGUACAUUGCAUAGUGGCAGCACCGUCCAGCCCUCGAGGAGGGCAAUUCGCUUCCUUGUCGCCUCUAUGAGUGUGCGACGGAGGGGAAGCAGCAGUCCCUACCACGGCGUGACCGGCGAGGGACGACGACGUGAGAGGGGUGGUGGUGGUGGUUGGCGUCCCUGGUUGAGGCUGGGGACUUGCGAACAGAUCCGGGAAGGAUACCCCGGCGACAAGAUCCACGAGCAGAUGGACGGGGAGGAGAGGAUGGGCAUGUCGGCAUGGAUCUGGUGAGAGGCGCGUGGGGAAGGAGCUGAGAUCUAUGGUGCCUCGGUCCGAAAUUGGGGGAUUA